AAAAAACCUUCAGCUUUCUCCGACCAAACCCGCGGUCCAUCGUCUUCGACACAGCGCAGCUCCACUUUGUGGAGCACAACCAUGUCGUUCCACCGCGCCGCUCCACCGUUUCUCCGGGACGCCAGCGAUGCCUUGCAGCUCCACCAUGCCGCACCGUGAAGCUUCACCGUUCCCUGCACAGCUCCCCCGCUCCCCCACGCAGCUCCCUCGUUCCCCUUUUCCCAUCCCUAAAAUUCCCACCUUUCCCCAUCCCCUUCCUCGACUGCCUCGUUGCUGAAGUCGCCGUGCUACGGACGACAUGGGGUCGCUCAUGGAUUCAGCAACGAGCUGCGCUAUCAUCCUCUCCCCUCUCCUUUUGGGAUGCGGGUGCGGAUCCCCAUUGACCUGUGGAUCCUCCGGUCUUCCCUCCCUACACAGCCCAUGGAAGAUGUCUGUGGCGAGCGAGCUGAGCAGGUUGGAUCACCAGAACGGCGCCGCCGUCGCGCCAUCCUUCCAGGCGACCUGCCCGUGGUGCAUAACCCUGACGGCGACAGCUCCUCUUCAACAUCCCAGGCUCCUCCUCCAUGUCCAACUGCCCAAGUGCUCUGCAAGUCUGCAGGUCCUUCUCCUCAUGCCCAAAGUCUGGAAUUUUGAUCUUUUUGGAACCAUUUGUCUCUGAAGCAAAAUAAUGUGCAGUAAGAUUCUGCCAUUUAGUGCAGUAAGAUUCUGCCAUUAUGUUAACAUUAUGUGCAGUAAGAUUCUGCUAUUUUGUGUCUCUCCAUUUCAAUUGUCAAUGCAUAUUGAUCUUUGUAUUGAACAAAACAUAUAGGCUAUUCUUCGAAAGUUUGAGUAUUGAUUUCAGAAAGAAAAAAGUGUUGCCAUUAAUGUAUUGACAGUACUGGUGCUGAUGUUAAUUUGGACACCUCGAAGGAUUUAUUUAUCUUUUUUCGUUAAAAUGGUGGAAGGCUCAAGUAGCCCAAGUUAAGACAUAAAAAUUCAGAUUAGAAACUAGUCCUAGUAAAAGAAUGAGAAAAUGCCAGAAUUAAGAAGCAAGUACUCCUAGUGUGGCCACUCUGUAGAUGAAUUAAGAAAUUCCAAAUUGUUUGAAUUGGGACAGUUGUGGUGAAUGGGUCAAGUUGUGCUAGUUAGGUUUGAAACCAUGACAAAAUUCAGAAAGGUCAUGUAAUGAAAUUUGAUUAAUGUUGUCCUACAGUGUACUCAUGUAAUGAAUUUUUUGCAGUAGGGCUAGUGUUUUCAAAUAAUUCCAAGUAAUUAAAAUAAAUCCAAAUAAUUCCAAGUAAUUCAAGUAAAUUACCUAAACAUGCUCAGUUAACAGAACCUGAUUGUUAACAGAACCUAAGCAUUUUCUUCUUUCUGAUGGUUGUUCCUGGAGCAACUAUGGAAAUGGAGUCUGUACAAAAGGAGUAUGGAAAUGCAUAAAGUCUGAACUGACCAAAUGGUACGGUGCUUAGUGUGUAAGAUUGAUCAAUUGAUCAAGAUUACAAAAGAAUGCACACAGGGAGCAUUAAAAGGCACAAAAGGAGAUUUAAUUUCAGGUUGAUUGCUUAGUCCAUCACCAUAGCACUUUUUCCCUAACACUUUCGACAACCAUAGCACUUUACUGAACAUGUACAUGCAAUCCUACUGGAGUACUCCUUCAGUACAUGUUCAAUUGUCCAAUGUAAUGUAGGAGGAGGGUCAACAACAAUUAAAUUGUCCAGUGUCAUGUAGGAGGAGGGUCAACAUCAAACUACUACAGUUGCAUGGCAUUAUAAUCUAACCCAAUAAUUUAGCAAGAAGCUUUUAAUCUAACAAAAGUCCGAACCUUCAGGAGCUACGAGCUAACAAAAGUUUAAAACAUUGAAGUAAAGAAAGUAGUAGAGAUAUCAUCCUCACAGACUUGUUCCUUUUUCUUUUCUUAUUAAUAUAAACAUCGUGACUGAAAUUUGAUCUACCACUAGACCUACAGAAAAUGGACACUUAUUGAUUCCCAUUCAACAAUAUAGUGACAAGUGAUGAUAAUAGGACUAAAGGGGUGCAGCAGCAACUUGGUAAAUUCCGUUUUGUCUGAAAAACAGUUAACUGAAACUGUUAAUUGUUUCUGGGAUUUCUGAAACUUGGGAAUGCACCACUGGGACAAUGUACAGUCACUAUACAGAUUAGGAUAUUACUCACAAUUCAAACUUGUGUACUGCCAAAAAGGUUCAGGCUCAAUGCUGCAUUGCUGAAAAUAUACAGUAAAUUUUUGGAGUACAGAUUAAUUGAACCCUGAAAAUUUAACUGAAUUUUACAUCCUUCUUCUUCUUCCUGAGGAACGCAAGCUCUGGGGGCAGCACAAGGAGUAGGGCAUAGGAGCAGCAGCACUGCCACGUGCACGGGCAGAUGGGUUGCAGCAGAGGCGUCCACCACCACCACCAGCAGCAGACGGUCCUGUAGAGGAGCUCUGGGCGGAGGAGCAACGGUAGCAAGAGCUGGACCUUCUUCUUUACCUGCUCGUCGGCGUAGCCGAUGCUGCUAGGACUGGGCGGACCGGCAUCGCCGCAGCCGUCCUCCUCCUCGAGCCCCUGGAACUCUUCCCUCCUCCGGGACGCGAACGUUCUGCUCCUGCCCCUGGACGCGGCCGUCAUGUACCCCUCGUCAUCGUCUUUGUCGGUGAUCUCAUGGCCGGCGGAGGCGAAGACCAUGGGCAGUCCAGAGGCAUGGAGGGAGAGCACGGCCAGGGCCUCGCCGCCGGGGGCGGAUUGGGGUCCGGAUCAGGGGCCAGGGCCUCGCUGGUGGGGGCUCCAGUUCUUCCUGAGGAACACGGAGCAGCAGGAGCUUGAGCAGCCUCUGUGUGGCCGGCGCAGGUUGGCCGUCGUCGAGCUCUGGGCCCGACGGCUGGUGCCGGCGGUGGCUGGGGCGACCACGGCGCGGGCGGGCGACGGAGGAAUGAGGAAGAAGCAGUGGGGGCUGAUUAGCAACAGUUUAAAAGGUGGUAGGGUUUUUUUGCAAAAUUACAAAUGAACUAAGGUGCUGACAACUUUUUCCGGAUGGAGGGAGUACUUUUGUAACUCCACAAAUUCUAAAAAAUAGGAUAACAUGGGAAAUUUGUAUAUGAAUCACGUUAAAAAAAUAAGACCAAGAUCA